rnacentral:rRNA from 1 species
GAUAAACGCUAGCGGCAGGCUUAACACAUGCAAGUCGAGGGGCAGCAUAGAUUGUCGCAAUACAAUUGGUGGCGACCGGCGCACGGGUGCGUAACGCGUAUGCAACCUACCCGUCACAGGGGGAUAAUCCGGAGCAAUCUGGUCUAAUACCCCAUAACAUAUGGAUCGGCAUCGGUUCAUGUUGAAAUUUUCGGAGGUGACGGAUGGGCAUGCGUAGCAUUAGCUUGUUGGUGAGGUAACGGCUCACCAAGGCGACGAUGCUUAGGGGGACUGAGAGGUUUUCCCCCCACACUGGUACUGAGACACGGACCAGACUCCUACGGGAGGCAGCAGUGAGGAAUAUUGGUCAAUGGGCGCAAGCCUGAACCAGCCAUGCCGCGUGCAGGAUGACGGCUCUAUGAGUUGUAAACUGCUUUUGUACGAGGGUAAAGUGGGUUACGUGUAACCUUUUGAAAGUAUCGUACGAAUAAGGAUCGGCUAACUCCGUGCCAGCCGCCGCAGUAA